UACGUAGGGACCGAGCGUUGUCCGGAUUCAUUGGGCGUAAAGAGCUCGUAGGCGGCCACUCAAGUCGAAUGUGAAACCUCGAGGCUUAACCUCGAGCCUGCAUUCGAUACUGGGCGGCUAGAGUCUGGUAGGGGGAUCUGGAAUUCCUGGUGUAGCGGUGGAAUGCGCAGAUAUCAGGAGGAACACCGGUGGCGAAGGCGGCUCUCUGGGACGGUACUGACGCUGAGACGCGAAAGCGUGGGGAGCAAACAGG
rnacentral:rRNA from 1 species